GACGAACGCUGGCGGCGUGCCUAAUACAUGCAAGUCGAACGCAGUGGGUACGGGUUAGUAACACGUGGUUAACCUCCCCAUCAGAGGGGAUAACACUUGGAAACAGGUGCUAAACCUAUACUGCUGGAUGGACUCGCGGUGCAUUCGCUAGUGGGUAAGGUAACGGCUCACCAAGGCCACGAUGCAUAGCCGACCUGAGAGGGUGAUCGGCCACACUGGGACUGAGACACGGCCCAGACUCCGACGGGAGGCAGCAGUAGGGAAUCUUCGGCAAGGGACGAAAGUCUGACCGAGCAACGCCGCGUGAGUGAAGAAGGUUUUCGGAUCGUAAAACUCUGUUGUUAGAGAAGCGGUAUCUAACCAGAAAGCCACGGCUAACUACGUGCCAGCAGCCGCGGUAAUUC
rnacentral:rRNA from 1 species